CUGUCAUUGGCAAGUACCUGAACUACAUUUCAGUCACUCAGUAAAGUGAUAACUCAAAAUAUCAUUGUCAACAGAUCUGAAGAAAUUGCCACUGCGUCUUUAGACCGUUUUCGUCAGACGAGAGACACAGUUCUGACUCUGAUUACUGGUUGCUGUACGUAUCUAUCCACAUCAAGGCUGUUGAGAGAUACUCGUGAAGAUUCAAGACAGCUCUUAGAGGAUUUGCAGUUUAAAAGUGAAAUAAUUGUGAAAUAAGCGU